AUUGAACGCUGGCGGAAUGCUUUACACAUGCAAGUCGAACGGCAGCACGGGGGCAGCCCUGGUGGCGAGUGGCGAACGGGUGAGUAAUACAUGGAACGUGCCCGGUCGUGGGGGAUAACGUAGCGAAAGUUACGCUAAUACCGCAUACGAUCUGAGGAUGAAAGCGGGGGACCUUCGGGCCUCGCGCGAUCGGAGCGGCCGAUGUCAGAUUAGGUAGUUGGUGGGGUAAAGGCCUACCAAGCCGACGAUCUGUAGCUGGUCUGAGAGGACGACCAGCCACACUGGGACUGAGACACGGCCCAGACUCCUACGGGAGGCAGCAGUGGGGAAUUUUGGACAAUGGGCGAAAGCCUGAUCCAGCCAUUCCGCGUGAAGGACGAAGGCCUUCGGGUUGUAAAAUGCUUUUGUACGGAACGAAAAGGCUCUGGCUAAUACCUGGGGCUCAUGACGGUACCGUAAGAAUAAGCACCGGCUAACUACGUG
rnacentral:rRNA from 1 species